rnacentral:lncRNA from 1 species
AGAGCUGCCUUCCUUUUCUGUUUCAUCUACUUGCCUCUUUCAGUGCCUGGGACUCCCGACCCUCCAGCCCACUCACAGGAAGACGCCAAAUCAUUUUUACAAAUGAUUUUAAAUAAACAGCGUUGUACAGGAAGCACGGCCGCAUCUGCUUCUGGGGAGGCCUCAGGGAGCUUUUACUCAUGGUGGAGCAGGUGUCUUACACGGCAGGAAAAGGACCCAGAGAGAGAGAGAGGUGAUACACACUUUGAAACAACCAGAUCUCGCGAGGACUCACUCACUCUACAGUACCAAGAGAGGAUGGUGCUAAAUCAUUCAUGAGAACUCCGCCCUCAGGAUCCAGUCACCUCCCACCAGGCCCCGCCUCCAACAGUGGGGAUUAUGAUUUGACCUGAGAUUUUGUGGGGACACAGAUCCAAACCGUACCAACAUUAUAUAUAUUUCUCUGAAAGAACCCAUUCUCCCUCAAUUAAAAAAGCUUUGUGUAUUAUUAAACAUACAUUUAACAUUCCACGGUUUCUUCACCAAUGUCUGGUCAGUGUGUAGGUUCUUGAGUUUUGACUGAAAGGAUUCACCAGGGAGAGUUGCCAGAACACAGAAAACUCUGCCCCAGAGCCUCAUCCAUGCUUCUAUGUACAGCUCAACAAAAC